AUGGUUACUACACCUUUACCACAAUAAAACCAUGGUUAAUGUUCGUAAGGGGACAUACCUAUAAGUCCAACGUGUGCACAUUUGGAGAAAUACUUACACAUUUUACUUCUUAUUUCUUUAGACUGAAUAAUUAUUUAUCUUCCAAUUCCAAAGUAUGCGACCUGGGGCCUGUUGCACAAAAGUAGAAUUAAGACAUCCAGGAUAAAUGACUGAGCUGAGCUCAAUGAAGCCAAAACAAGUGCGUCCAGGCUCAAUUGGUUGCACAAAGACCAAGUCAGGAUGAUCAGACACGGAUUCAUCAAUCCAGGUGAAACCAAUCCUGGAUAGGUGCGCGCUCACGGAUCACUCAACUAGACCCCGCCACCGAUCACAGAUUCACCAUGGCCACUAGAGCGGCAUUCUUUUCCCUGUCAGAGGCGCAAAUCCAUACGAGGAGGUAAAAGACAUAAUUAAGAAGAAAGGCAACACCGCCACAGUGAUAAAGCAAAGAGAUAAAGCGUGGCAAAGUAUUGCAGACCGCCUGAAUGCAUUAAAUAUGACCGGGCCAAAAUGGACAUGGCAGCAGGUCAAAAUCAAAUACAAGAAGAUUCUGCAGAAUGCAGUGAAAAAGAAUACCCAGAGACAAGGCACGGGUGGUGGGUCACCAAAAGCUGACCUCACCCCAGCAGAGGCCAGCUUUGGAGCUAAAUGGCAGGCCUGUUGGAGGGGAUCCCUGGGGGAAAAGAGACAAGCAUAGGUCCCUCCCAAGAUGCCACCCGCUUCAUACAAGAUAUGUUCUUCCAUCUCUACAUGGGACACAAUCACAUUCAUAUUGAAUCUAUUUGAACUGUCUGACUUUGGUUUGCCUAUUGCCUUGCAGUGUCUGGCAGCACUGUGUUACUGUUAAAGCCAACAGCACGAGCACCAGACGAUGCUGAUCCAGUGAGUACUCAAUCAAAGGCAUACUGUAGGCCUGGCAUGUCUUGUCUACUAGCUUCAAUAUGAAUCAGAUUAAAUGUGAUAGGGUCAAGGCCCCAUUUCAUCAGCACAUAACGGCGAUGAUGAUGAGGAGACCAUCUCUCUGGAUUCCAGAAGACAUAAGGACCCUGUGUCAUUGGUGCACUGGACUGCACACACAUAAGGAUAAAAGCCCCCUCAGGUGCCCAUGAGGCAGAUUUUGUAAAUAUGAAAUCUUUUCACAGCAUUAAUGUUCAGGUGAACAUAACUUUUUGAUCUUUUCCAUUGAACACUGGCAAAAUGGCCUGCCUCAGUCCAUGACUGCAGAAUCUUUCGGACCUCUGAAAUCUAUCAGCGCCUAUCAUAAGGUGAAUUCUCUGGUUUGUUGCUGGGAGACCGGGGGUAUGGCUGCCAGCCUUUUUCCUGACACCUUUCACAGACCCUCAGGAAGCACAGCAGGCCUACAACUAUGCCCAUGCCAGGACCAGGCCCAGAGUUGAAAUGACCUUUGGCCUCCUGAAGGCACGCUCUCACUGCCUUCACAAAUUAAGGGUCAGCCCUGUGAGGGCAUGUGACAUUACUGAGAGGGCAUUUGUCCUGCAUUUAUUUCAGUGUGCAGACAUGCAGGGUGUGUUAUAUACAGACCUUUGAAUGUGUAUUUAUCCUUUGGUUGUAUAAUAUGCUUUGAUUCUGUGCUUUCCAUCUUGUAGAGUCACUGUUUGACUUCAGUUUCGAAAGGAGCUGAUGGUUUACCUGCUUUGUUUUCUCCUUAUUCAAUAAAGAAACAUAAUGUUA